UUUUUUGCGGGCGCGCGGGGCGCGGGCCGGGCGGCGGGGGCGGUCUUUGGUCAUUUAGAGGAAGUAAAAGUCGUAACAAGGUUUCCGUAGGUGAACCUGCGGAAGGAUCAUUAAAGAAUAAUUCUUGAUCCGACCAAAGAAAGGAGGGAGAGCUGUAGCUGGCCCUAGGCACGUGCACGCUUUCUUUCUGGACUUUGGUCGUAUGGGCGCGGAGGGUCAACCCUCUGCGUCUUCAUAUGCCCCUCUUCGUGUAGAAAGUCUUUGAAUGUUUUUACUAUCAUCGAGUCGCGACUUCCAGGAGACGCGAUUCUUUGAGACAAAAGUUAUUACAACUUUCAGCAAUGGAUCUCUUGGCUCUCGCAUCGAUGAAGAACGCAGCGAAUAGCGAUAUGUAAUGUGAAUUGCAGAUCUACAGUGAAUCAUCGAAUCUUUGAACGCACCUUGCGCUCCUCGGUGUUCCGAGGAGCAUGCCUGUUUGAGCGUCAGUAAAUUCUCAACUCCUCUCGAUCGACUUCGAGUGGAGCUUGGAUGGUGGGGGCUGCCGGAGACCUGAAUAUUCGUGUUCGGGACUCGGGCUCCUCUGAAAUGUAUUGGCUUGCGGUCUGUUUUCGACUUUGCAUGACAAGGCUUUUGGCGUGAUAAUGAUCGCCGCUCGCCGAAGUGCAUGAAUGAAACCGUGCCGUGCCUCUAAUCCGUCGAUGCCUCUAUGGGGCGUCUUCUUGGUCCAUUGACUCAAUCAGGUAGGACUACUCUAUUU
rnacentral:misc_RNA from 1 species